rnacentral:tRNA from 1 species
UUUGGGAUGGUCUAAGGGCAGGACAGGUGGUUUUGAGCCAUUUAGUGAAGGUUCGAUCCCUUCUCCCAGAACCA